rnacentral:tRNA from 1 species
GGCAGAGUAGGUUAGUUGGUUUAGACCGCCUGUCUUGUAAACAGGAUGUCGUGGGUUCGAAUCCCAUCUCUGCCU